ACACCCACAAAAUCCUAGCCUACAACAUUCUCCGACGUUUGAUCUUGGAAUAUAAAAUUUAUGGAAAAUAUAUAUCCAAAUGGUGCCCAGCAGAAGGAUUGAACGAAAUAUGGUGACAGUUUCUCACAAUUGAGAUUGUUUAUGCAAGAUCAGUUGCAAGUUUUGAGGGUUUGAUUUAUUUUUAUUUUUUCCUUUAUUGUUUUGAGAGACUAGUUAGAUGCAUUGGGAUCUGCAUCUUGUUGGGGUAAAACAUAUAUAUGGGAAAGUGAGGCAUGCAAAUUCAUGCAAGAAAGGGAAAUGUAUACAGACAUGUAUAUGCUAAAAUAUAAAAAUUAUGAGAGAAUAUUUGUUUGUGGGAAUUUUCUAUAUAUACUUCUCCUUGUAAAAGGUCAUAUUUAUAAUACAACGAAACAUGAAUGAGCAAGUAAAUAAUAAAUUCCUAAAUCUAUUUACAGUAAGAAAUCAGAAAUUAAAGUAAAUCAAUUACAAUUAUAAUAGGAAUUCUUGGUGUGUAAGGAAAGUAAGUCAAUAUCUACAAGUCACGCCAACACUCCCCUUCACGUUGGUGCAUAGAUGUCGCCAAUGCCCAACUGAUCCAGUGAAUUGUGGAAGCUUUACUAGAAAUCGCCUUUGUUAAAAUAUCCGCCAAUUGAUCCUCGGAUUUCACAAAAAGAAACUGAAACACUUUAGCCUCAAGCUUCUGUUUGAUGGAGUGUCGAUCCAUCUCAACAUGUUUAGUACGAUCAUGCUGAACCAGAUUCUGUGCAAUGGAUAUAGCAGCCUUGUUGUCACAAAAGAGAUUCAUUGUGAAUGUAGGUUUACACCCAAGUUCAGUAAGCAACUUUCUCAACCAAAGAAGUUCACAAAUCCCUUUAGUCAUGCCUCUGAACUCAGCUUCUGCACUGGAUAAAGCUACUACAUUCUGUUUGUUGCUCCUCCAUGUCACCAAAUUACCUCCUACAAAUGGGAAGUAAUCCGAUGUGGAUUUUCUAUCUGUUACAUUACCUGCCCAAUCUGCAUCUGAAUAACCAUCAAUAUUUAGAUGACCAUGCUUUGAGAACAUAAGUCCUUUUCCAGGUGCAAACUUCAAAUAUCUAAGUAUCCGAAUAAAUGCAUUCAUGUGGUCUUCACUUAGAAAGUGCAUAAAUUGACUGACAACGCUCACCGCAUAAGCAAUGUCUGGUCGAGUAUGUGACAAAUAGAUCAAUCUUCCCACUAACCUUUGGUAUCUUUCUUUGUUAGUUGGAACUAGCUGGAUAUUCUCCAAGAUGAUGAUUCUGAACAAUAGGAAUGUCCACAGGUUUACAAUCUAGCAUUCCUGUGUCUAUCAACAAGUCCAAGACAUAUUUCCUUUGAGAGAGAAAUAUGCCUUGCUGCGAUUGAGCCACCUCAGUUCCCAAGAAAUACUUGAGUCCACCUAGAUCCUUCAUCUCAAACUCCGUAGCAAAUAGUCUUGUAGCUGUGAUAUUUCCUGUUUAUCAUUCCCAGUAAUAAUCAUAUCAUCAACAUAGAUUAUUAAUGCUGUUACCUUCCCUUUUUGAUGUUUCAAGAACAUAGUAUGAUCUGAGUUGCUAUGUUUGAAACCAUUGUUCUUCAUUGCCAUGGUGAACCGUCCAAACCAUGCACGUGGUGACUAUUUCAAUCCAUACAAUGCUUUUCGUAACCUGCAAACUGUUCUAGUCUGAGUAGUAUUAUAUCCAGGAGGAAUGUCCAUGUACACCUCCUCCGUGAGUUCGCCAUGUAGAAAAGCAUUCUUUACAUCAAACUGGUGUAGUGGCCAAUCCAAAUUAGGUGCAAGGGACAAUAAGACUUUGACGGUGUUUAACUUUGCAACUGGAGCAAAGGUUUCUUCAUAGUCUAUACCAUAGGUCUUUGUGUACCCUUUUUCCACAAGUCUUGCCUUGUAUCGCUCUAUAGAUCCAUCUGCAUUGUGUUUUAUAGUAAACACCCAUCUACAUCCGAUAGUCUUUUUUCCUCGUGGUAUAGUCUCUAAUGUCCAAGUCUGAUUUUUCUCAAGAGCUUUCAUCUCCUCUUCUAUAGCUUGGACCCACUUAGGAUCUUUCAAUGCUUCAGAGACCUUGGUUGGAAUAUGGAUAGCAGACAACUGAUGCACAAAAGCCUUGAGUGGUUCAGACAGCUUCUCAAUGGAUACAUGAUUUGCAAUUGGAUACUUGGAUGUCUUGCCAAUAUCAGGUGAAUAACGGUUUGGUGGCUUCCCACGAUUUUGCCUGAAAGGUAAUUGAUAUCCAAUAGUUUUAUCAUCUAAAUGCACAAGUCUAGUAAGAGUAGUUACCUCAAGGAUAUUCUCAGGAGAUUGGUCUGUUGGUACUGUUGAGUUAGAGGGGGGUCUUCAUCUUGUUGUUCUGUAUUGUCUGUAGGUGUGAGACUCAGAUCAGAAAUAUCUUUGCAGGGAUUAGAUGGGUCAGGCAAUUGAUCGCAAUGAAUGGGCGAUUGGUCGCUUUUCGACAGAGAGUAAUCUCGUGCUCCAGACUCGGGAUGAUCAAUUAUUUCUGUACAUAGGAGAAUUUCUUUAUUUUCCAAGUUGCUCCAAUUCUGCUCUUCACUUUGUAUCUCCCCUUGAAGCGUAGAAUUGGAUGAUGGGUUAUGGAAGAACAGCUCAUAUUCCAGAAAGGUCACAUCUAAAGUGACAUAGGUUCGUUGGGUAGGAGGGUGAUAACAGCAGUAGCCUUUUUGAUGAGUGGCAUAACCCACAAAAAUACAACGAACCGCACAGGGAUCAAGUUUGCUACGUUGAUUUUUGUGGAGAUGAACAAAAGCCACACAUCCAAAGAUUCGGGGUGUGAGUACCAAAACAGAGGGCAGAGGUCUGUGUUGCGCAAGCACCUGUAAGGGAGUUUUAAAGGUCAAUACACCAGAAGGCAUGCGGUUGAUCAGGUGAACUGCGGUGACAAUAGCAUCAUCCCAGUGAUGGCGAGGAACAUGAGCGCCAAUCAGAAGUGCUCGGGCGGUUUCAAGAAGAUGUCGAUUCUUUCGUACAGCAACACCAUUUUGUUGCGGUGUCUGAGGACAAGUCGUCUCAUGGAUAAUUCCAUGUUGUUGGAAGUAAGUCUGAAAGUCAUGAUUGACAAAUUCUCCACCAUUGUCUGAGCGAAGAAUCUGGAUUUGAGCAUUAAACUGGUUUUCAUCUGUUUGUGGAAUGACUGAAAACAAGAAAACACUUUGUUUUUAUUCUUCAACAAAUAAAGCCAUGUCAUCUGUGUACAAUCAUCGAUGAAUGUGACAAACCAUCGAACACCAGAAGGAGCAGUUAUAGGCGAAGGUCCCUAGACAUCAGAGUGAAUUAACAUAAAUGGAGUAGUACACUUGUUCGUACUCAACAGGUAAGGCACACGGUGACUCUUGGCCAAAAUACAAGUAUCACAUGUGAAAUCGGAGUCCUUGAAACCUGAGAAUAAAUCUGGUAUAAGAUGCUUCAUAUAACUAAAAGACGAAUGUCCCAAUCGACGAUGCCACAACCAGAUUUGCUUUUGUUUGCUAUCAAAGGGAUGUGUCACACUGUUAGCCACGCCGGGACUGAAGUCAUCGACAUAAUAUAGCCCUUCUCUCUUAGUACCACGACCAAGAAUCUCCUUAGUGUGAAUAUCCUGAAGCAAACAAAAACUCGGAUAAAUGAGUACACAACAAUUCAAUUGUCCAGUAAGCUGACUAACUGACAACAAUUUAGUGGAUAAAGAUGGAACAAGUAAAGUAUUAGACAGUGUGAGAGAGGAUGAGAGUGCAACAGUGCCAGCCCCUAUCACAGGAUAAGUAACACCAUUGGCAUUUGCAAUACAGGUUCGUCGAGGUUGUGUAGUAUUCAGAAAAUCAUCAGGAUCAAACGUUAUAUGAUCAGUUGCACCGGAAUCAAUUAUCCAGCUCCUAGAAUCAAUCUUAUCAAAAGUAUGGUAUUGCAUUGUCCUCGAUCUGUAAGAGUAGCCCACCAAUCGGGGUAGCCAUGCAAUUUAAAAUAAGUCUCACAAGUGUGCCUCGGAUCACCACAAUAUGCACAAUCUAGUUCAUGUGUCAGGGUCGUUAGUCGAGAAGUCAUAAUCUGUGCAGCGGAAGAUGCAUAGGAUACAGGUUGAGUAGGAAUUUGGAUCAAAAUUUGAGCCUGAGUCGGAGUUGAAAUCGGGAUCGGGGUCUGAAUCAAAGACAAAUUCAGGGUCGGGGCCAUCAUCGGAGUGGGGGUGGAGGUCGUCUUCGGAGUCGGGGUCAGGGUCGUCGUCGUCAUAGUCGGGGUUGGGGUCAGGGUAUUCAAAAGAGGAUUCUGAUUCUGGAUCGGGUUCGGGGUCAAAGUCUGCAUCUGUAGGAGCUGAGCCAUCUUGGCACUCAACUCAACGAUGGUUGGUUGAGAAUGAGAGAAGGAGUCGAUGGUGCUACCUCCAUGAGGGUUGAAAAAAUCAUCAACCCCCAUAGCGGCGGCGGGGGUUUGAAACUAGAGUCAGCAAUUCCAAGAUCGCUGCUCUGAUACCAUGCUAAAAUAUGAAAAGUAUGAGAGAAUAUUUGUUUGUGAAAAUUUUCUAUAUAUACUUCUCCUUGUAGGAGGUCAUAUUUAUAAUACAACGAAACCUGAAUGGGCAAGUAAAUAAUAAAUUUCUAAAUCUAUUUACAGUAAGAAAUCAUGAAUAAAAGUAAAUCAAUUACAAUUAUAAUAGGAAUUCUUGGUGUGUAAGGAAAGUAAGUCAAUAUCCACAAGUCACGCCAACAGUAUAUAUGUAUGAAUGUAAAUAUUACAUUCACCUAUAAAUAAUCUUCAAAGAAGAAUUUCCUAUGGCAUCUUUUUUGUUUUAAGUUUACACUUUACAACUGCUGGUAAAAAUAAUGUCUAACUAGGUAUAUUAUCACCCCAUUGUAUCUCCCAAUCCUCAAUCAUCAUUCCCUCUUCUUUUUUCUGAUAUUGAUUCCCAAAUCCUCCUUCAGUAACUUCUUUCCAAUGCCAAUUUUAACUUCUUUCCUCAUUCUCCUACUAGACAAAAUUGUGUGAGGACAGGUCCAGUGAUGCAUUGGAUGGACUGAUUCUACUUGUCCCUUUCUGGGCUUCAUUAAGGAUUUCUUGUGACAUUGCCCUCUUUGAUAGUGCAUAUGUCAAACAGUAAUUUUUCUUGGAGGAGAAAAAUAGUCAAGUAUUUUAUGAUUUCCUAACGGGCCUGAAUUUGAGAGAGAGGGGACCAAAAUUACCAGGUCUUUACUUACCCUACCUUGCUCAUUACCGGGUCUCUAUUGGAUACGUGGUAUUCAUGUAUUGGACUCAAUUUAUUUAGCUUGAAUUACCCUUAUAAAAAAAAAAAAUCAAUAUAUUAGUAGCACGUGUGGCCCACUAUGUGGUCCCACUACUAAUAACAUCAAUGCAUUUUUAUGAUAAAACUCUACAUCUGUUAUACUACCAAGUGAUUAAAAGGAAAGUAUCGGUGGCAGGCCAGCGAUGGCGGUGGCGGCCAACGAUGGCGGGAGUUCGACAAUGGUGGCCGACGGCGAGAUUCUAGUGGUGGCCAGCAGUGGUGGCCGGCGACGGGAUUUCGACGGUGGUGGCCGGUGAUUGGAUUCUGGCAAUGGUGGCCGACGGUGAUGGUUGGCUAGAUAUGGACAUGUGGCAUAGUAUGCUUGCCUUAGAAGGAGUGUCAUUGUGCGUAAUUUUGAUAUUUUUUAAUGAUAUUUUUGUAAAAUUAGGUAUUACAUUUGGUCUUUGUCCUUAUGUUAAUUAGAUGAAAUUAUAUUCUUAUCUUCCAAAUUAGUAAACUAUAUUGUGUUUUAAAACUAAAGCACCCUAAAUAAAAUCAGGGAGUUCCUUAAAUUAGUACAUAAAAGUUCUAAUAUGAAACGCAAAUUGUGCUAUACGAUGAACCAUACCAUUGACAAUACAAUAAAUAUGGUUAAAACCUUCACCAUUGACAGUACACCAUUGACAAGUUCUUGAUAUUCUCCACCAUUGAUCCAAUGACGAAGUUAUCUAUUGAUUUACUUCGAAUUACUGUAAUGAUCUGGAAAGCAUCAUUUUGAAAGUCUAAAUCUUAUUGAAUAAAAAAGUGUCAACAAGUAUAUGCUGGCUCAUUGAAAAACAAUAAUUUACAUAAACAAAUGAAAGAUUAAAUAAAUAAAAAAUUGUACUAAAAUUAUUCAGCUGGUCUUUACUUUUUAUGGACUUACUGUCGCUUGUUAGAAAAUUCCGGAGUUGAACUCAACCACUGAACAGAAAUAUUGGUAUUCAAUGACCAAGUUGUGGUCUUCUAGAAUCGAAUUUAAUGGUUAGCCAAUUGUAGCCCAAAUCCUAUAAGUCUAACGAAUUUGUUUUCGGGCUUGUUUGGGACUGCUUCUCUAGGAAGCAUAGUAUGAAAUAUCGAUAAUAUCGAGGAAAUAUCGAGGAUAUUUCGGUUUUUUCGAAUCACGGAUAUUUCGAAACAUAUCCAUGUACAUAUCGUAUAAAUAUCGACAAUAUCGACGAUAAUAUCGGAAAAUAUCGAUGUCGAUAAUUUCGCUCACAUUUCAGCAAUAUUUUGUCAAAAUAUCGGUGUAAUAUCGCUAAAAUAUCGAAAAUAUCGAAAAUAUCGAUGUGAAGGAAAAAAAAAGUUUUUAAAAAAAAAAAAAGGGAAAAAGGGGAGAAAAAAGCACAAAGGGGAUAUGAACCCCUCCCAUUUUACUCCUCCAACACCUUAAACACCAUAUCACUUAUGUUUUUGUGAUAAUAUGCUAAAAUAUUUAUAUUUAUAUGGGUGGUAUGUUAACAAUUACAUGCAAAACUAUUUUGGGGAUUUAUCAUUUGAUGACUACUCUUCAGAAUACACUUACUCUACACAUAGAAAUGAUGAAGAUAGUGAAAAAUUUGAACCUCGUAGGAACUCUAUGUGGUACUAAGUCACUCAUGUAUCUUACCAUGCAAUGUAUAAAGUGUAAAAUAUUAUAGUAAAUCAUUAUAUAUAAAUGAUUACGGUGUAUUUAAUCUUUUUUCAUUAAUUAUUACAUAUUUUUUACACUCAUAGUGUUUGCCCGCUUGCUGUAUAAUCAACUUAAAUUAGUUAAAUCCAUCAUGCAAUGCAUUUCCUUCUAAUUUUUUGUGAUAAACUCAUAGAUAAUUGACUAAAUAAACAUUCUCCAAAGUUUCAAUAAAAAUUUCCAAGUUUUUCUUACAAUUUCCGUGGUUUUUAUUCAAUUUUUAUCGAUAUCGAUAAUAUCCCGACAUUUCCAUCGAAAUUUCCAUAUUUUUGGACUACCGAUAUUUCCGAUAUCAUCGAUAUUUUAGACCUUGCUAGGAAGUACUUCUACUCAUAAGCUCUUCUAACAAAAACGCUUUUAUUAUAAAAAUCUUGAAUUUUCAUAAAAAAAAAAAAUUAAAAUGCUUCAUGGAAAAGCACUUGGGAGUGCUUCCUGAAGAAGCACAUAGCAGGUGCUUCUCCAGGAAGCGCUUCUAUGACCCAGAAGUGCUUCUAAACUUUUCUGUCAAACGCUGUCAGAAGCGCUUUUAGUUAUCAGAAAACGCUUUUAGCCCUUCCAGAAGCACUCCCAAACAGACAUACCUUUCUCAAAUGUAAAGCUUGGGAGCAAGAUAGUAUUAGUCCAGAUCCAACCAAUUUCACCUCUUUUUUUCUUGCUAAGCUUGACAUCACCAGCCCACUUCUAUCCUCAACCAACUCAAGUUUGGUGCCAAAGUUAGUGGCAACCCAAAAUCAGCUAAUUGGUGCAAUUAAUCUCAUUAUUUUUGGCUUAUAACUUUAGCAGUUAAGAGUAUUUAUGUUUUUAUUUAAAAACAAAUGCUCUUAUUUUAGGCUCACUAAAGAAAUAGAGAAAGGGGACAGUGAGUCGGAAAUAAGUUAUUUUAUGCCUUAAAUUUUGUGUUUGAAUUCUCCUUACCCCUUUCCCAAUAUAAUAUGAUCAAGAAACUAUGUCAUGCAUUUCUAAGUCUUACUAGGUUUGGUAACAUCUAAAUGGGAUUAGUUAGUUGAAAGCGUGUGUUAUGUGUAUGGGUUUGUCAUCUACUAUUUUUUAUUGUUUUUAUAGAGUAAGAAUAACAUUGUGUGUAAAUGUUUUGAUUCCAUAAUCAUCUUAAUUAAGAAAAUGAAUUAUUUCGUCAAAUCAAAGACAAUUCCAUACUAUUGGUGAUUCGAGCGUUAAGGGAACAAAUUACUUUUGAAUUAAUGGAAUGUUUACUAAUCCAUAACCAAAAUUAAAACAAGGAGUUGAAUUUUUAUUAUGGGUAAUCCUGUGUUUACUUACACAUGGAGGAAUCAAAUUGCAAAUGGGACACACACAAAAUCAAGAAUUCAUUUUGGAGGGAUUGGACUCUUGGGUGGGAGGUGGUAUUCUAAUCUCUGGAAAACUAACACAUUAUGAAUCCAUCUUUUUUACUCAUUAUAUCCUCACACAACUUUAAAAAUUCCAAAUUUGUCAUCAACUUUAACCCAACAAUGAGGGCAUUUUAGUAAUCACAUUGGUUCAAUUCCAAUUCAUGUGAAUUUAGUAAAGAACUUAUAAGAAAUUAGUACCACUCCUACCCCAAUUCCAUAUGGUUUAGUAAACAAUUUCAAUAGAAACCAAACUCUAACUCUCCUCAAUCCAACUCCUCAAUUUCGAAUUAAUAAACAUGUCAUAAGUCAAAAGAGGUAAUACUCUCGACAUUCGUUGAAUAGGUAAAGGAAUACAAAUGUAUGGCUCCUGGUAAUUUAUAAAUUUAAAAAAAGAGACAAAAAAGGCUUACUUUUUUACUUUUUUUUUUUUUACAUUAAAAGGAAAAAAAAUCAGCACUUAUAUUCUUUUAUGGAAAAACAAUCAUGACCCGUUUAAGGUUAUGGAAAGAAAAAAAAAGACUCAUCAAAGAAAUAUUACGUUAGUAUAGGUUGUGUUUGGUUCGUAGGAAAAGGGGCUUGUGAAUGAUUUCCCACAUUUGGUAAGUUCAGAGAUGUAAAAAAGCAUUCACAAAGCAUUAAUUUUAUAUAUUUUUUAUGACCAAUAUACCCUUAUUAACAAUUAAAAAUACCAAGGCAUGCAUUAGUAUACUUUUUAUUGCAUAUUUUUAAUUUAUGGGAGUAAUUGGAAAACUAAAUCAAAUUUGUGUUUCAUUCCUGCAUAAACCAAAUAUGGAAGAAAAAAAAGAUAUUUCCCACUUACUUUCCUAUCAUUAUCAAACAUUGGAAAGAACUCUUCAAUUUCCCUUCCCUGAGAAAGAUAUGGGGAUUGAUUCAAUUCUUUUUCGCAAACCAAACGAGGAGAAAUUAUAGAGUGAUACGGUAUCACCACGUCAGCUGAUGAUACUUCCAUUCAAAAUCUGCCAUGUGUCUUUUUUGAGAAGAAAAUUAAAUUUUUUUCACUGUUGGACUUUGUCUUCCAACUUUACCCUUAAUAAAAUAAAAUAUGAAAAAAAAAAAAAAAAAAAAAAAAAAAACAAGAAGACUGCAGCAGUUUCCCCUAUCGGCAAUCUGCUUACCUUGCACUGCCACCCCUUGGCUGCAGUCCCCCUCCAAUAAUAUCAACAUCAAACAUACCCUUCUUUCACUAGUGGGUUGUCGUCAUAGGAGAUUUUGAAGAUUUUUGUUUUAUGUUUAAUGGGUUUGCACUGAUUUUCAAGAUUUUUGGGUUUUCUAAAUAUGUUUGACUUUUUACUAAGAAUGGGAGGCACGGAAAGGCCGGGUGGGUGGUGAGGGAGGAGGGAAGACGACUGGGUGGCGAGGGAGAUGCAAAGACGGCUAGGUGGCGUCGAUAGCACAGGGAAGACGGGGGAGAUAGGUUAGAGUAAUUAAUGUUGAAGGGUAAACUUGUAAGACAAAGUCCAGGUGUAAAUUCUUUUUAAUUUUCUUUUCAAAAAGGAUACAUAGCAGAUCUUGAGUGGGAAUAUCACCAGGCUAACUAAUGCAUUUUACACAAUGUUUGUGUGUGUUUAAAGUAGCAUAAACAGUAUAAAUUUUUUUAUAGUAAAAGUUCAUGUCUGUCAAUUCAUUUAAUUUUAAUGCACUUAUUAUUUCCUUUAUAUAUUUAUUUAAAAAAUUCAUGGUACCUCACUAACAUUCAAAUCAUUAGUUUGACCAAAAUAAAAAACAAAAAUAAAAAUAGAAAACUAACAACUUUUGGCUGUGCAAGACUCAAUCGACCUGGCUCCUCUUCAUUUUCAAUUAGGUUUAAUUAUGUUCACAGGUCACAAUCAUACAAUUUGCAAAAUGUUUAACAAUUCAACGCGUUUCUUUUCUCAACUCUCACAUCCUAUGAACAAACUCAUCAUGAGAUGUAUCCACGUAAAUCAAUUAGAAAAUUAGAAAAAAGUAGUUUGAAUUUUGUAACACCAUUUCAUUUGAUAAAGGCGUUGGACAACAACCAGCCUUGCCUACCCCCAAAGUCCCAAACCCACCCACCAUCAAAAUGCACCAAAUUUUAUUCUAUUCCCACUUCAGCCACCCCCCCUUGCUCAGCCCUUCGAAUUAGAUUGGAUUAUUUAAAAUAUAUUUAAAUAAGAAAUGAAAUUAGAGUUUAAAAAAUUUUCAUUUUAUGGGAAUUUGAAGACAUAAGUUAUAAGGUGUUAAUAUCCCGUCAUUUUAAAGAUAAUAAGUUUCUUUCAUGACUAAUUCAUCUUCUAUAUUCAAUUUCGACAAAAUUUAGAAAUUGAUCUCCAUAAUCCAAUAUUAAAGACCUCCUUGGGAUCCAUAAAUCAUACAAUUUUUUCCUCUCCACAUAUAAAAGGAACUGUUCCAACACACAUGUUAAACCGUGAUUCAUUUGUAAAGGGAAAUGAUUUCCGAUAAAUUAAUCAAAAAGUUAAGUCCUGUAUUAACAAUAAUUUAGAUUGAUAGCAUAAUUUAUAUCAGACCAAUAACUAUUUGAGUAUCAACCAUCAUUUAAUCAUGUUAAUGACCUCAUCCCUGAAAAUAAAAAAAUAACCGCAGUAAUUAGAAAAGGAAAAAAGUUUGCCAAUAAAUAACCCAAAAUCUCAAUGUGUAUAAGCGUUUUGCCUCAAUAACAAUACUGAAUCAAACAGAGAAAAGAAUAAUAAACUCAUUGGUAUCAGCCUUCUUGGGACCAAAACACCGCAUCUGGGCCGUCGCAGCAUCGCCGCCGGAAGUGGUGGCGCCGCCGCCAAAGUUGUGGAGGUUGUGGUGGUCUUCAUGGCUGGGCGGAGGCGGAUGGUAGUACAUGCGGCUGGUCUGAGGGCAAUGAGAAUAAGAUCUGGCAGCGAUUCUCACUCCCUGAUCCAAAAUUUCCACCAGCUUGAUCCCCAUCUUGCUCUCUGGUUAAUCUCUGUGUGUUGUAUAUUGUGUAUGACUUGUAUAUCUCUCUCUCCUCUCUCUCUCCUCUCUCUCUCUCUCUCUCUCUCUCUCUCCCUCCCUCUUCUCUCUCAAAAAUUGUUGGAGAAAGAAAGGGCGAGAAAGUGAAAGAAAAUGGAGGAAAAGGAGAAGAAGUGGAAGCUGGAAUUGGAACUUAGAAGACGUCCCAGGCGUCGGAGCCCAUAAAAUGGGAAAGGAGAGACGACAGAGAGAGAAAGAGAGGUUUCUGUGACGGCAGAGGGCUCAUGCGGCUUUGUUUAUAUAGCUGCCUGCCUUCGCGUUUUCCCUAGUCUAAUGCGUUUAUUUAUUUAUUUUUAUUAAUUGUUUUUUUUUUCGUCUAUUUGGUGGUGCUUCGUUGGUCUUUCCUUAAUAUUUUUGCCAAUUGGGUUUCUUUUUAGGUGCUUCGUUGGUCCAUACUACUUAUUUGUGUGUUGAACCUUUUACAAAACGGAUUUGCAAACCAAUCCUUUCAUUUACCGUCCUUCUAAAUGAGGAAAAAUAACUCCAAAGUUAGCUAAAAAUCAAGAAUUUAAAAAUCGAGAAUUUAAUAGCUAAAGUCAAGAAUUUAUCUUGUUUGGCAAUUUAAGUAUGGAAUUUAUUAAUAACACGCGGAAAAAAUUGUAGAAAUUGGGCCAUCAAAUUCCUCAUUUAAUAGGCGUUAUUUUUCAAUUUCCUCAUUUAAUAGGCGUUAUUUUUCAAUUUCCAUAGUGUCAUUUUACAAAAUUCGACGUAUAUAAAUUCAAAUACUGAAAUCUUCAAUUGCAAGAAAUUGAAAUUUCGUUAUUUUAGAAUUCUAUGUAAUUUUCAAUUCCUUUAUCCAAACAGAGGAUUAUAGAAUUAUAAUUAAAAUCACAAAAUUUGUGUUAUGUGAUUGUGUGUUUUAAAAGAAAACCAAAACAAUACCACUAUGUACAAAUAGGUAAUCUCUUCUUCAAGGCAAGGAAAGGAUUCUAAUUCUUUUUUUCUUUUUUCUUUUUUUUCUUUUUUUUUUUUGAAAAGGAAAAUUACUCUAAUUCUAAGAAGGUUAACUUGAGUAACAAGCCAAGUAUAGAGGAGUGUAUCUUAAAAAAUGUAGCUAUGUGGGGUGUGAAACUCUCCAUUUACAUAGUUGUAUCCUUAUAUCUAGUCUCUUAAUUUCUUCUUGCACUUUGUAAGUUUUGUUUAAGAUGUUACAUUGAACUAUAUUGUAAUUCAGAAAAUGAUUUCAAAUAAUAUAAGAUAAUGAACUCAUGUAAAAGCAUGAAUCAAUAUGAAUCCCAAUAACUAGACAAUUACAAAUAAAUUGGACUAUAAUUAAACCUCAUACCGUACCAUGCACAUAGACAUUAUUCUUUUAGUGCAGUCCAAUCCAAUCCAGCAUAAUAUUUAAUCAAGUCCCAUGUUCAAAAGCAAGAGAAAAAAAGAAGAGUAAGUCCCUUGUUCUAUCCAACAAAAGAAAAAAGUCCCUUGUUCUAAAUUGAAUUAGUAGUCAAUUGUCUACAUAUUUGUAGGGAAAAAAAAUUAAUUGAGAGGGGGCAACUCGAGAAUAAAAUAAGUAGACAAGACAGAGAUACAAAUAUAAGAAAAUAGAAGGGCUUGGAUGAAAGUGUGUCCAAUUAGGAACCGCAACUUCCGGUAUUACUGGGUGGUUGUGUAGUUGUAAAUAUGCGUGACAUGUUCGCCGCGUUGUAACUACGUUACAAUUUCACAACAACUCUGGCUGGCACUUCUAGUUUUUAGGCCCUUAUUACCUCACUACCUUGUUUUACCGGCAUUCUCUCUCCAAGUCCAAGUUAUGCCUUUUAGUUUUGUGUUUAAUUACUUUUAAUUGCCACUAAUUUCACUUGUCAUUUGAUCAUGAUAAUCAGCAAAGAAAAUGGCUGAACUAGUGGAAAAAAACUUAUAAUCACUCUGAGAUAUCACUGCUUUGUUAUUACUAACCAAUCACGUUUCGUCACACAUAAUUGAUUGGGAUAGCAAAACAUCCCAAUAGUACUAUCACAUUGACCUAUCAUGAAUUUAUAAGGAGUUGGGCUCCUUAUACAUUCAUGCUAAAAGUGAAGUAUAGGUGCAAUAUCCACUGACGGACCCAGAAAUUUCAUUAUAAAAAUAAUUUGCUAAGGAAAGAAAAGAAAAAGUGUGUCUGCGUUUGAGAAAAGCAGCUGAAUUGCCGUCUUGAGAAAGAAUUCCCGAAUUGGAAACUAUCUUCACCCGCGAUUAAUUUAAGCCAAAUAAUUAAUUUAACAAGAAGAAAAAGAGAGCUUGUUAAAAACCCUUUUGUUUUAUAGCCCUUUAUCAUUUUUUAAGCAGCCCAAACAUCAGAGCUUGUUAAAGCCCACGAAUUGCUUUAUUUUAUUUUAUUUAUUAUUUAAGCCCUUAUCCAAAAUGACGUCGUUUUGGCCUAGAUAUUUUAUAAUAAUUUAAAAAAAAAAAAAAAAAAAAAGAGGUGUUGCCCGCAGAAACAACCCAAUGCGCAACAACAACCCAGCGCCUUCAAGUCUUGUUGAGACAAUUCAUCGAACACCUAGAACGCACCACAAAACCUCAACAGAGAGGCAAUAUGCAGCUUCAUCUCCUUGUUCAUUAAAAGGUCUGCUAGUGGCAGUAUCUAUUGGGCGACAACCAUCAUUUCCAAGCUGAUAUCACAAGUAAAACAUUUGAAUUUAUACAAUGUGCCUUAUGUUGAAGUUGGUAUUCAAUAAGAGAAUAUGUCAUGAAAUUUCGAUACUCAAAAAGAAAACUCCAUUUUGAAUUUUAACCUUGUUCUUAUGGCAAGAUCGAUAAAUUAGUAUAUAUUCAUGAUUUCUUAUUGUAUGUAAAACAAGAAGAUUAUGGACUAGUAGGGAAUAUGUCUACCUGCAUUGUUAUUUUUGUUAAUAUAAGAAAAAAAAAAAAAAGUAAACUAUGUAACUAAAAGAGUAUACAAGACAAAGAUAUAAAUAUGAGAAAAUACAGGGGCUUUGUAAACCACAAAGAUUGAUUUUACCGGGAUGGAGACUUGUCAGGAUUCUUCUUGUAAAUAUGCGCAAAAUGUUUGCCGCAUUGUGAGUUGUGUGACCUACCACCAACUUUGGCCUUUUCCAAAAUGUCCCUUUAAAGUCGCUGGCUGGCUGGCUCACUAUUUUAUUUCCAGUUAUACCCCUUAUUUAUCAAUUUAAUUACAUACAUGCUUCUUUCACAUUUUCUUUUGACUUUAUUAAUUCUUUUUUGACUUGUUCCACGCUCCCAUGACUAUUCGUCCUCUAGAAUAUAUUGUGCACCUGCCCAACCAACCAAUCAAAUUUACCCUUUUAUUGAAAAAGAGAUGUCCGAAGAACCGAAAGUCUCUAAAUUUUAUAGGAGAGCAUAUACUUACAAAAAGAAAAAACAACGAAAAGGUCUCUAUUCUCAAUGACGAUUUUUAUUUGCUGACAUGGGUUUAGAGCAGUUGGUUAUUUUAUUGCACCUAAAUUUAAAUUAAAAGAUUAAUUUAAAGUAGUUUAGAAUUUUUCUUUGUAUUAAAAAUUACUGUUACUUACUUUGUUUGGUUAUAUAUUUAUUAGUUUUUUUGCAAGCGUUUUCGUGCCUACGAGAGGUUUUUUAUAAAAAAAAAUUAAAAUUUAUUUUAAAAUUAAAAAUAAUAAUAGGUAGUUGUGUUCCAUAAAAAUAGGAUCCGUUAUUUGAUUUUUCUUUUAAUUUUAAAUUUUUUUAACAUGAAAAAGUGUGAAUUUAUCAUAUUAUCCUCAAUUGAUUAAUAAUUUCAAUUCUUAACGUUUGUAUUAACCAGGGCGUUUUUCGGUAUUUUGAAUGUUGUAUCAUUCUAUGUCUUUUGCUUUAUAUAUACUAGCCCCUUGGUGCCAAUUGGUUUUCUUUCUUAUUUUUUUAUUUUAUUUUUAGAAUUAAGAAAAGAUAACAUGGGUAGUUAUGUUCUAUAAAAGUAGGACCUAUUAUCUGAUUUGUUUUUAAUUUUAAUUUGUUUUAAUAUGAAAAAAAAAUGUGAAUUUACCAUAUUAUCCUCAUUUAAUUAAUAAUUUCAAUUCUUAAUGUUUGAAUUAACCAAGGGCAUUUUCUGCUAUUUUAAAUGUUUACCAUUCUCUGUCUUUUGCUUUAUAUAUAUAUAUAUAUAUUAAGGUUUCAAAAUUAAAAUUCAAAGUUGGUUUGUGGAGCUUGUGCUUUUAAUGAUUCAGAACAUUGAUCCUUACCUCCUCCCACAACUAUUGUUUGAUCAAAAUACAAGUCAAGGUUAUUUAAAUUUUGAAGGAGGGAAGGGAAGAUGGAGAUGACGAAUAUGAGACAAACAAAUGUAUGAAGAAUAUAUAAAUUAGUUUCUAAAAUCCUCAAUCGGCGCAGUAACUUCUGCCUUAAAUACCCCUUCGACAGGGUCACCAAGGUCGUAUCCCAGAUCAGUGUUUGAUCGGAGCAGAGUAUUCCUUCGGUACCUUGAAUUGAAGUGAAGUCAUUCAGUCGAACAUUGAGUCUGUAUAAGUAGCCUUUGCCAAGUUUAGUGAAACAUGUUCUUCGGCAUUUGUGGACUUCAUUUGCAUAUCAGUGUCCAAGUUGCCAAAUCUGCGAGGUGGACUACGGUAAACCUCUUAAGUAUUGGUGUUAAGAUAGAGCUUUCUGAAAAAGGACUUUGUCAAAUUGACCCCUUAAGUUCCAUUCCUCCUCUAUAUUCAUAGCAAGAUGAAUUCGAAACACUUGCAAAACUUGUAAAUGUCAUGUAAGAAAGCAUGCUGCAUGCAGUAGUUGUUCUUUGACACAUUUAAUUUAAAAUAUAAACAAAAAAGUUGGUGUGUGAUUUUAUUUAUUUAGUUGAGGAAUAAACAAACAGAAAAUCCAAAUCCAGGGCAUCAUUUCCAAAAUCCACAUGCAUGCUCCCAUAAGAAACAAACAGGUUGCUUUUAAAAUUGUACAGUUACAAGUUGCUUGUAUAAAAUAAAGUAAUAGAAGAAAGAAUAAGAUAGUAUCCCCUCCCUAGCGAAUGACACAGAAAAAAAAGAGAAUGCGAUAGCAUUUUUGUCGCUGGGUUUGCUGGUUGCUCCUCCCCUCCUCCCUUCCUCCCCUCCUCGUACUAAAAGAUGCCGAUUAGUAGCUACCUCUGCUAAAGAAUUUGUUCAAUUAGAAUCACCCUUUACAAUUGUUUAGCUCAGAAAAGAGAGAUA
rnacentral:lncRNA from 1 species